AUCUCAAAAGAAAACCCUAUCGCUUUCCUUUCCAAGCUGCUCUCCCCUCUCACUCUUCCUCGAUCCCUCUCCUUUUCUCUCUCCUACUCGAAACACAAGCAGUUGGAGGAUUCAACUACGACGGCGAGAGGCCAUAUGAGGUUUCAACAACAGCAGAGGUCGACAGGUCUGACAAAGGCUCACUGGGACUGCUAAAUACUCUCUCUCCCUCUCUCUCUCUCUCUCUCUCUCUCUCUGUUAUGUAGUUAACCAGUGACUGGGUUGCAUGGGCUGCAGAUGGUGGUGCGACGGGGUGCCAUGGGUGCUCAGAUCCUAGUUUAUGUAUUAUUUAUUAUUAUUAUUAUUAUUGUAAAGCUAUGUAUUUAUUUCUUUUUGUUUAAAUGGUUCUCGGAUCUUGCUCUCUUAUUUUGGGUUAUUUACUUUUUGUGCCAACUUUUAAUGGAUUUUUUGCUCCCUUGAGAGGAUGACACAGGGAGGUCGAAGGUGGGGGUUCUCUUGGUAAACUUAGGUUUUAUACUUUUAACUUUGAUUUAUUAAGUGAAGCUGAGAGUAUUAGGAUUGCUUUUUCAUUUAUUGGAUUCCAAACCAUUGUCCAUCGAUUGAAGCUAGAAAUGUUAAAACAUGAAAGAGAAUUUUAUAUGAUGUAUGUUACAUAUAUGUAUAAUUCUGAUGAUUCUAAUUAGUGUAUUUUUAUUAUUGUGAAACAAGUGAGUAUCACCAAAGUGUACUAAGUUUUGUGUUUGUCCACAAACAAGUUUUUGUCUCUUGUUGAUCUAGUCAAAUGUGUGUGUGUGAGGUAUGCUAUGGAUAUGAGCAUAUUGGUUUGUAUAUGCAUGUAUGAUAUUUUUUAUAAAGCUGCUAAAGACUUUAGGAAUUCGCACCAUUAUUUUAUAUGAAUAUAUUAGUUUGUACACAUAUAUAUAAUAUUUUAUUGUUGUAAGUUUUUAGAUUACAAAUUGUUUUAGAAAAUUACUUGCAAGUUUCUUUUAGCAUUUAUAAAUAUAAAGAUUUUGUAUAUUAUUUGAUUGCUCCAACUAUUGUGCAACUUUUGAACUUUUAGUGCCUUAAAGAUGUUAUUCAUAUUAUUUGAUUUAGCAAUACUUGUGGAUUGCAAAAGAUAUAGCAUUGAAAUUUGUAAUUUGAUGCAGGAUCCUGGUGACUUGCAUGAUUGUUCUGUUGCUUUUUAUAAUUACUUAUGCUUGUUGUCGAGGCAGCACUCUAUCUUCUUAUAGAUCUUAAGUGAUGUUAACUUUCUACUGAGGAGAAGAGCAUUCUAUGUUUGUUGGGCUUGGUUUUCGAUCUGCUUCUGACAUAGUAUGGGAAACAUCUCCGGUAGACAGUACAGAGAUAGAAGGAACACCGAUUGUAUGUCAAAUCCAAGAAGCACAAGUUCUGGUUAUUUCAAGUGACAUUCUUUAGUCACAUUCCUCACAAGGAUGGGAUUGAGGUGGAUCCAAUCAGGGUUGAGGAAUUCAUAAAUGGGCUAAGCCUGGGAAUGCUUCCAAAAUUAGAAGUUUCCUUGGAGCGACAGGGUAGUACCAGUGUUCUAUAGAAGAACCUUCAAGGAUUGCUACACCAUUAACAUAAUGGACACGUAAGAACUUGAGGUCUGUAUGGUCCAACAGAUGUGAGAAUAGCUUAUAGGAGUUGAAACAAUAAUGAAUGUUACACUAAUGUUGAGUCUAAUGUUGAGUCUUCCAUCAGAGCAAAAGUCGUUUGGGGUGUAUUAUGAUGCACUAAGCAAAGAAUUAGGUUGUACUCAUAGGUAAGGUAAACUGGUGAUUACCAAUGCGUUACAACAGUUGACGAGGCAGAAACAGCAGUCCCCUACGUAUGGUCUGAAACUAGUGGCAGUGGUAUUUGCAUUGAAGAUGUGGUGAUGUUGCUUGUAUGAAAGGAAGUGUGAGAUACACUACUUAUAAGAUCUUGAAGUAUCUUGUUACACAAAAGAGUUUGAAUGAGAGACAUAAAUUAUGAUUAGAAUUAGUAAUGGAAUAUGAUUGUGAAUUCUUUGUCAUCCAGGGAAAGGGAUCUGGAAGAGUUAUUUGAUUUUGAACCUACGUCUAGGAAGUUGACAAAGGAUAUGACUAGAAUGGGGAUGGAAUUGGAUGUGGGCCAGUUAACCAACAUAACCUUGUAAUCUACUCUUAUGGAGAGAGUACGGGAAGGUUGGACAAGUAAUCCUCAAUUGAAGAGAUAUAGGGAGGACCUCCUAGCUGAAGCGAUUAGAAACUAUACAGUUAUAGAGACUAAUUCAUUAGAAUACAAGGGUCGAAUUUUGGUUCCGAUGGGCAUAUUUACAGAUAAGAAAUUCUUGAUGAAUUCCAUACUGCACCUUACUCACUAUUUCCAGGCUCCAUGAGAAUGUAUCAAGAUUUAAAGACCUUAUACUGGUCGCUUGAACUGAAGGGUGAUGUGACUAACUAUAUGGUUAAAUACCCAGCAUGUCAAGAGGGGAGAAUUGAGAAAUAAAGACAAGCAGGGCUACUUAACCUCUGGGUGUUCCUGGGUGGAAAUGUUAGGACAUUAUUAUGCACUCCAUAGUUGGACCGCCCAUAGCAAUGGGUCAAAAUGAUUACACCUUAAAUAUUGUAGAAUGGUGUAUUAAGUCAGGCCAUUUCCAAUCAGUGAGGCCAAACUUUACAAACUUUACAGUAAUUAACAUAUAGAAUUGUGAAUAAAAGAGAUUAUGCGACUUGGUGAGAUUAAGAAGUUUGUUACGUUAGAUUAGAAACUCCACCUUUGCUUCCCAGUUUUGGGAAGGGUUUAUAAGAGGUUAUGGAUAACCCGUUAAAAUUUAAUACCAGUUAGCAUCCUCAGACAAGUGGGUGAUUUGAGAGGAUGACUCACAUAUUGACAAAAAUACUUUGGACGUGUGAAUUGGACAUCGAAUGGUCCUGAAAUAUGGAUUUAUAUCGAUUGAUGGUUAGAGUGGUUCUGUAUGGAGUGCUACAUGGUAAGAAGAUUAGACUCAACCCCUCUAGCAGAAUAAAUUGGGUGAGGGAUAACAUUUGGGUCCCAGAAUGGUACAUCAGACCAGUAGGGUCGGCGAGAAGAUUAGAGCUCAGAUGCUCACUGUUCAAAGUAGAUAAAUAAGCUACGUUUGCCUUCAGCGUAGGGAUAUAAGGUUCCAAGUUGGGAAUUAUGUCUUCUUUAAAAUGUCACCAUUAAAAGUGGGUGAAGAGAUUUGGAAAGAAAGGCAAGUUGAGCCCUAAACUUAUAGGAUCUUUCGAGACCCUAGAGAGGAUCAGUUAGGUGACUUAUAGAUUGGCUUUACCUCCGGCAUUGUCGGUCGUACACAAUGUUUUUCAUAUUUCAACGCUUCAGAGGUAAGUAUCAGAUGUGACUCAUGUGUUGAGUUACGAAGAUCUGGAGCUGUAGGCAUAUCGUUCUUAUGAAGAAUAGCCAAUCCAGACAUUAGACAGGAAGAACAAGUUCUUGAAAAACAAAACUAUACCUUUGGUUAAGGUAAUAUGGAGGAACAACAAGGUUGAGGAGGUGACCUGGGAAUUUGAGUCCAACAUGCGGGAUCAGUAUCCUGAGUUAUUCAGGUAAGAUUUUGAGAACGAAAUUCCUGUAAGGAGGGGAUAAUUGUAACGUCCCAAUUUCCCUAAUAUGGCUUAGUGCCUGGAUUAGGGGGCCGGGAGGCAAUAAUUGAGUUAAUUAGGUGCUUAUGUGUUAUGAGCAUGCUAUUGUGUGAAUUUUAUUAUGAUAUGAUCAUGCUUACAUGUUUAAGUGUAUUAAAUAUGCAUGUGGGCCCGUUUCUUAUUAGAAUGACAUUUUAUAAUUUUGACCCGCUGAGGGUAUAAUUGUAAAUAUGCGUAAUAUGUAAUCGUGACCACAUUAUUAUGUGGAUAUGUUUGAGUUACCCGGCAAGAGGCCACCCUAGGGAGCAAGUUAGCGAAAAAGUCACAACGGGGUAAAAUACCCGGCUUGGGGCAAGCAUAUGUGUAUUUUGGUAAUUUGGUAAAUUAUCGAGAAUCAUAGACUAACGAGAAUUAAUUUAUGUAUAUUGGUGUUGACAGUAAGAACUCGUCAACUAAGUUAGAUUAAGAACUUUAUGAGUUAUAAAAGAAGCGAACUUAAAUCGACUGAACUUCAAACAAUCUUUCUGAUGUUUUCAAGAACACAAAACGUAAAUGCUAGAACUUUAGAAUGGAAAAUAGAGAGAAUGUAGAAUGUGUAUUUUCAUUAGCAAUGGAUGAUUACCAAACUCCCAAAAUUCGACCCCCGUCUUAGGUGAAGGAAGGUCAUAUAUAUAGGAGAGCACUACUGGCUCACUAUACAUGGUGGUCCCGGGGGGACAUGGCUCUACUUAUGCAUGUUAUAUUAUUUUAUAAUAUAAUGUAAUAUUAUAUUAUAUUAUAAUAUAAUGUUUUAGAUUAAGUAAAUGUGACAAAGAGUGUCACAUAUUAUAACAUAUAAUAGAGAGUUACAAUAUUUAGAUAUAUGAGAUAUAUCCAAAUAUAUAACAUAUUUGGUGUUACAAAUUUGUAACUUCCAAAUAUCACCCGUUAUUGUGUAGAUUUGUUGUUACACAAUAUUGAGAUGAAUUUCGUAAAGCCAUAUGAGAAAUGGUUGAUAGAGAUGUGAUUUUAACUGACAUAUUGUGUAUGGAAGUUACAAAAUCAAGUGGGAAUAAAUUUGGAACGUUUUGAAAAAAUUGAAAAAUUGGUUGCUCGAAAAUGUCUAGGGCCGCGACACCUGUUCGUCAGGCUGCGACCCAAUUGGCUGACAGCAUCUUCCAACUUUCAGUUUUAUCCAAUUUUGAACAGUUCCAACAGCCAAAUAACUUCCAAAUUCUCUAUUUUAAUUCCAUAAACAUCCAAUUAAUCAUUGGUAACCGCUAUGGGGGUUGGCGGAAUUUGAAAUUCAAAGGGUGUCUCAAAACUCUAUAAAUAGGAGCCUAAUGCUCACUUGUAAAAUACAACAUUUCCAUCCAUUAAAACACUUGGCUAGAAACGCCUUGAGGCUUGAUUAUUCUAGAAAACAUUUCCAAAAUAUGUGAGAGAUUCCUUAGUGCUUGAGUUAGGGGGAAAUAAGCUUUUGGACAAAGGUUUCAAACUUUGUUCAAGUUGGUGAUCCCCAACACUCUUCACUUUAGUAGUGUGAGUGAGAGUUGUUUGUGCAUUGUUUUCUUGUUCUUUUCUUUUAUUCUACUUCUUUUCAUCUUCAUAUUCUUCUUUUCUAUUUAUUUGUAUCUCUUGUUUAGAGUUGUAAUAUUUUCUUUUCUUUUGUCUCAAAUACCUUUACUUUAUUUGUAACCUUUUGCUUAGAGUUGUAUUUCACUAUUCUCUUCUUCUAUUUCUUCAUUUGUAUUUUCAGUUAUAGAGUUGUAACUUUAUUUAAUCAAUCAUUAUUUAUUUAUAAUACUUUUGCAUAGAGUUGUAAUUUUCUUACAAUUUCCAUUGAGGCAAAUACUAUUUUUCCUAACAUUCAAAAGCUUAUCCCCCAUUGUUUGUUUCAAUGGAAGGUAAGACUAUCGAAAUCAUGAACCAAGACCUAGAAGGGUUGAAUAGGUUUCAUGGAUCCAAUUGAACUUGGUGGUAAGACAAGGUAAGUGUAAAUGUAUACACUAUUUUAUAUAAUAGUGAUGAAAUUUUAUUUCAUGUAUAAGCAUGUUUUCAAAUGUUGAUAUAUGAAUAAUUGUGUAAAUGUUAACAUGUUAAUACAAUAUGAGAUACAUUGUAACAUAGUUGAGAAAUCUAUUUAUGAAAGUUAAUGUGUAAUUCUUAGAAGGCCCUUGGCGCAAGGUGGAAGGGCUUGUGGGUGAGGCCGUGGUGCGAGACAGAGGCCUGAUGCGCUUGUGAGGAGUUGGGGUGAGGUAGGGGCCUGUGGCGUGAGACCAUGCCUCGCUUGGUGCUAUUGUAGGGCUUUUAGCGCAUGGCGCAAGGUCGGGCUUUGCUGUUUCCAUCCCAAGCCUAUAGUUUGAAGAGCACAGGGCAGGGGCCUUGUGCAACUGGAACUUUGGCAUCCACACUUGCCCCCCAGUCUAUGGGAGGGCCUUUAGGCGCUCUGGUAGAAUUCUUGGUACGGUGCCUUCAAACCACCUUUGGUCUUAGUGUGUUUCUUUGCUCUGGUAGUGUGAAGUAACACACUUUGGGGUGGUGAUCCUCAUGAUUCCUUGAGGGUAAAUGUGAGCCUAUCAUUUGGCUUCGCGAAUCCCAAUUACACCCCGUAGUUGGUCAUUUUGAGCACUUGUGUCUAGAGGUUUUUAGCUUAUUCCUUUGUAUCUUGUAGUACACUUUCCACAUACACUUGCUCCCGUAUUACCAACGAGGCGUGCCUUCAUGGAAUUUGAGGGGAGUGUUCCUUCGGGGGUUGGGUUUGUAGACUUGUCCUCAGACUCAAGGUCCCCCGAUAACAACCCCUACCAAAGAUACGAUGCCUUAAGAAGUGCACGUCUAUGUUACUUAGAACACAUGGCUGAGCUUAGGAAAAAUAUUUGGGUUGUCAAAAGUGAGAUGAGAUCGAUUUUGAGGGGUAAUGGAGCCCUAUUUUCCAUUGAUUCUCACACCCACCUUCUCAGCCUUAGAGUGAGCCUUCUUGACCUACAAAAGGAGCUGGAGUUCAUGGAGGGAAACCUCCAUCCUGAACCCUCACCUUUGCAUCCUCCUAGCAGUCUUGUGGUCGCUCUUGGUUCCCCUCAGCCUUUGUCUUCAAUCGACCGUGGUUUGAUGCUCCCACACCCAAUGUCUCAAUGGAAAACUCCCGCAAAAAGAAGAAAAUGGAGGGUAAAGUGCUCGGUUUUGACCUCACCCUUUUCCUUUGAUUUUGCAGACAUGUCGAAGAGAAUGCGAUGACAGGUUGCUCCAGAGAAGCUGGACUUCGUUCCUCUACUGGAGUCCACCAUUAUUUCCAACGUGUUGGAGAACAGAUUGUUAGAGUUGUUUGAGAAAUACCAUAUUAGUAAGGAGUACAAACUGUAUGUAUCGUCUAAUAAAUGUUGGGCUGAUAACCCCCCCCCCCCCCAAGAGCUACAUCACUUUGAGCGAACAUAUUUUGAAGGCGGGUGGGGCCAUUCCUCUACACCUGUUCUUCAUCAUGAUCCUAAACUACUUUGACCUUGCUCCACUCCAGUUGGCACCCAACAGCUGGUUGACCCUGAACUGCCUAUACAUGGCAUUCAUGAAGCUUUAUGGUUGCACUCUCGCAGCCCAGGAGGUGCAUUUAAUGUACAUUCUCAUGCCCACUCCUAAGUUGAAGGGCUUCUACUUUUUAUAGAAAGCCAACUCUCAGAUCUCUUUGAUCCAAGGAUCUGUUUCUAACCCGUGCUCGUGGAAGCAUGACUUUUUCUUUGCCAAAGGUCCUCUUUCUAUCCGCAAACAUUUUUGUUCGUCUCCAAGUAAGUACUUAAAGUCUUUUCCUUAAUAUUGAGCUUGCUAUCGUGGACCUUAUACUCAUAUUGAUAGCUAAGUUGGCCAUUCAGAGAGUUUUACUAUCCUUAACGUUCCUGAGUCAGAGGCGGCACAGGUGGAUGUCUUCCUUGACGCAGACCCUUCAACGAAAUUGGUUGUUCAUCUUUUUAUUGUGGCCAACCUCAACUAUUAUGGUCUAUCAAGGGUUUCAAUGCCCGACCUGCUAUGGCAUAUUUCUGAGCGAAAGAAAAAGGCAGCUUCGACAGAACCUCCCUCAGAUGAGGGUGAUGUUGAAUGGGUGCCUGAGGAGACUUCACCUGAAUCAAAACGUCCAGCCCGAUUAUCUCCAGCCUCCAGGGAACACCCUUCUUCUGCUCCUAUGGGCUGCAUCACAGUUUCUCAUUCCCACGGUUCAUAGUCCAUGCAAGGGCGCUUUGUUCUGCCUUCUUACGAUGAAUUUGACAAUCUCCCUCAUGCCCUCGCUAGUCAUGGCUAUUCCAAGUACCAUUCGUUUAAUGCUCCCACACCUCCUCCUCACUCAGUGAGUAGGUCAUCUGUCCCAGCACACCUGGAUGCUCCUGAUUUGGAGGGGAUGUCCUGGGUGAGUCGCACAUCAUCCCCUUAUGUGUGAAGGUAUGCCUCGGCUGCCGAGGAUAUCCUUGAGACCGAGUGGAGAGGUCUCAAGAGUUUUAAGAUGGCGGAGCUUGGGGAGACCCUUAUGUACUCCACUACUUGGACUUCUCUAGUAGCUCAACAGCUGAUAGACUCGGCACGGGACCUGUCUUUGUCCAAAGCUGAAAGGGAUCGUCUUGUGGCCAGAGUUCAAGUGCUUGAGGGAUAGCUUGCUGAUGCCAACCUCAAGCUGGAGACAGCCCUAGUGAAGGCCUCUUCGUCAUCCAAAAAGAAGAAGAGAACGAAAGCCUAGGCUAAGGUGUUCCGGAAGAGGAUCACCCUCCUAGAGGCUGUUCUGGCAGAGGUUGAAUACAAGUCUGUGGAGCGCACCCUGUAUGGAGUGUGGAGGCAGAAUCCUUGUUUAUACUUCUCCUCCUUUGGUGAUCAUGCUGUUGCCAAGGCGGCCGAGUGGAAUGCUUGAGGCGGGAGGCCUUGAGAUUUCAUUUUUACAACUUUUAUUUUCCAACUUCGAUUUUGUUGUAUAAUUAUUCAAACCUUAUUAUACUGGAGAGGUUUCUCCAGGUUCUUUGCUUUUUCCUUCAGGAACUUUUUUAAGUCAUGUUAUGGUUGGUGUUGACUUUAUCCUGCAGCAUUAUCACGACUUUAUAUAUAUAUAUAUAUAUAUGAUCUUUUAUUGUUGUUUCUUUAUGCUUGAGGUCAUUUUGAGCUCGCUCCUAUAUGCAGAAGAAAAAGGGGUUUGAUAGGUCUCCUUUUUUCUUGAUAACUUGUUUAUGUUUUAUUUGGACCAAUAGUAAUUGUCUUUUUGGUGCACCUUGACUGUAUUUGUAAGGAUAUGUUGAUCCUUUGGGUUCUAGCUAUCCUUUUAUAUAUUUUCUCGUGCGCUUGUUAUUUUUUGCGAGAAGCGUCCUUCUCGUCAUUAUGUAUGGUACUAUUUUUAUAAGGGCCCCUUUUAGGACUCUUUUUGGAUAGAUGGCUUGGUGGCCACUCUAGGCUUAUUGGUCAAUGCUCUCCCUGAGGCAUUUCCCCCCGUGAAGGUAUCAGCCUUUAUUAGGGGUUAUCCUCGUGAAACCAUUUGACUUCUUUUCACAAGUGUCUCUUUUACAAAGGUCUCUUUUGAGACCCCUUUUGGCUAGACGGCGUGGUGGCCGCUCUAGGCUUAUUGGUGUGUGUCCCUCUUGAGACGUUACCCCUUGUGGAGGUGUUAGCUCUUAUUAGGGAGUUAUCCUCCUGAGACAUUUUGACAUCCAUGAGGGUAGUUAAUCGUUAUGAACCCAAGAAGUGCUCCAGGUUUAUCAGCGGAUGUCCUCAUCGAGACCAUACCCCCCGCAAAGAUGUUUAGCCUUUGUUGUGAGGUUAUUCCUGUAGGACCUUUUGGCUCCCUUAAUAUCCAUAAGGGUAGCUAAGCCUCAUGAACUCAAGAGGUGCCUUGCAAUAUUUUCUUCUUUAUUUCUUUUUUUUUCUUUGCUAUAUACUCUGCCUCCCAAGUAGUUGGCGAGAUUUAUAUCGUCGGGCACUUUGAUCAUUUUGCUAAUGUACUUUGAUAAUUUCAAUUGGCGAUGGGUACACAAGAGGCAGAUAUGCGCUUGUGUAAAGGAGUGUGACACUCCAAUAAGAAAAAUAUUCAUUAAAAAUGAGUAGAGUGCAUAAAUAUUCAUGGCAACAAUGUGCCUACUUCGUACCAGGGGAUCUAGGUGACCCCUUUAAUUCAUAGCUGCCUCUGAGGGAGGACUCACAACUACAUUGGGAUGUUAACUAGGGUAACCUCUUUGAUUCAUCGUACUAAAAGUAUAGCUUUACUCGGUAUUCCUUUUCAGGCGCCUAUCCUCAGCUGGUCACAUUCAUCCUCUACUUGGAUGCAUUCUAAAGCUCUUUCAUAGAAGUUUCCUAUGUCCCUUAUUUCUCUCUUGAGCAUACUUCCCCACAUUCCACUCUUCGAAUGUACCCUGCGAUGAUGGCCAUUCUUAACUGGUCCUCAGAUAACCUUCCCACUUUGGCUACCUCUGCGUUGAAGUGCUGGAUAUACUUUCUCAAGCUUUCAUUUUCACCUUGCUUUAUGUUGACAUGGAUCCUAGCGGGUGUCACAUAGCCAGGGAAGGCGCAUUGUUCCAGGAGGCAUUCCCCUCUUCAAGAUGUCAUACACAACAUUUUGGGGUUAGAUGGGAGAGAUUCUUCUAGGAUCUCCUUCGAAAGUGGAGAUUAUUCCAUGGACUUACUGGCUUCUAGCUUCCUUUUCUGCACAACUGCUAUUUGUUUUCUAAGGUUCUUCAUCGUGUUGCCUAGCUUCUCCCUCCUCCUGUUUAUUGUGUUCAGAAGGUCGCAGGCAGACAGAGCUCGAGUCUUUCUCUCAUCUAUGAAAGAAUCUGUGAGGACCUUCUCUCCUUUCACUCCAUCUUCUCUCUAUUAGGACAUGCCCCUCUUGUCUUCGGGCUUCUUCUUUGAGGUGGUGGUAUUCUGAUCAUGUGUGUGCCCCCCACUUCUUGACCACACCUAUGGCAAGGAACCUUCAUGGUGCUUCAAAUGUGAGGAACUACUCUCUGGAAGUUGGAUUUUACCACCGUGAAUGGGGAAAGUCGUUUCCUUUUUUUCCCUGUUCUUCUCCUACAUUCAUGGUGGAGGGUACAUCAGAUUUUGCUUGUGCCAUGCAGUAGAGCACUUCUAGCAUUUUUCACACUGUCUUUUCUAAUUUCUAAUUUUUUAGGCGUAGCUCAUUUAUCUCUCUCUUAUCUGUUUCGAUUCUGACUCCUCAGCAACGCGGGGGUCUAACUCAUGCAGGUUUACGCCUCCAUGCACCACCAUCACCAUGGGUAUUGACAAUUUCAUGAUUGUGCAAAGCGACGUGUUAUAACAUUCCCUCGCUUCCUUCUGUUCCCCUUUCACGCUCGCUAUUCCUCCAGGAGUUGGGAAUUUUAUGGGCAAGUGGUAUACUGAGGUCAUUGCCUUCAAUUCUCUUAGGGAUGACCUUCCUAAUACCGCAUUGAAUACUGAGGCACAAUCUACCACGACAAAGUUUGUCAUUACAAUGGUUUGCCUGGGUUGCUAUCCUAUGGUGAGGGCUAACUCGAUUACGCCUAGGGGUUGUAUCGAGUCCCCUGUAAACCCAUACAGGGAGGUAUUGCAGGGCUUUAGGUUCCUGAUCCUCAGUCCCAUCUUCUCUAAGGUUGGGCAAUAUAGGAUGUCUAUGGAGCUCCCAUUGUCUACCAGGACUCGAUAUACCCUCAAGUUAGCUAGAUGUACAAUCAGUACCAAGGGGUUGUUGUACAAAAAAUGUACACUCCGUGCGUCUUCUUCAAUGAAGGUUAUUGAGUCGUUCUCCUCCUUAAAACUUUCUGGGGGUCGUUGCUCCAAACAUAAGAUGCAUGGAAGUGGACUUCGCCUAGCUUCCAUUACGUAUCUAUCUCGCCCCUGCCUCUGAAUUCUUGCCCUGCGAAGAUGGUCCUAACCUCUCCUUGCACCUCUGAAGCUACAUCUCAUGCCCAUGGUGAGGGUAGUCCUUCUUCUGGUCUUUGAUCUUCUCUACGGACGUAUCAACCCAAGUGUCCCCUACGUAUAAGUUCUUCGUCUACCUUUUAAUGAGUGCAUUCUGCAGUGGUGUGGCCAAUGUCUUUAUGAUACUGAAAAUACUUAUUGGGUCUCUUUUUAAUCGAUCUUUCAUCAUUGGCAGGGGUCUCCUGAAGGGGACCCGAUUCUCAUUCAUGAUGAAGAUAUGUUCCCUAGUAUGUGUUAAGUCAGUAUAAAAGGUGUAUGGGAUCUGUCCGUGUUCAUCUACACAUUGGGGUUUCCGAGGAUUAUAAUCUCUCGACCCUUCAUAGGACCUCUUUUUCUUUGUGCAAUUUAGGGCUUAACGGAUUGAGGGUUUUAGGCAUGACUCGCCCUUCCUAGCCUUAAGACUCUCAUGACCAUCCUCAACACGGAUGUAUUUUUGUGCCUAUUCGUAGAAAUCGUCUAAGUGAGUGACCUCCCUCUUUAGCAUGUUAUCCCACAACUUUCUACUCGGGUGCACUCCAGCAGUAAAGGCCAUUUUUAACUCCCCUCCGGUCACAUUUCCUACUUUGGCUACCUCCCUAUUGAACCCAUGUAUAUAGCUCUUUAGGCUCUCAUCUUCUCCUUGUUUUAUGUUAGCAAGGCUGGUGCCUAGCAUGGUGUAAUCACGCACAGCGUGAUGUUGCUUAAGAAAUUCAUCAGAAAAUUGUUGCCAAGACCUGAUGGACCCUGGCCGGAGUCUCUUGAACCACUUGUACGCAGGACCCUUUAUCGUGAGAACAAAGCAGUGGCCUCUGGCUCUGCUAUUAAUUCCUCUUAACUUCAUUAGGUCAUUGAAUGCAUCAAGAUCGUACUUUGGAUCCGUAUUUCCCUCGUAAGAGGCCAUGUGAGGCUCUUUGAUGUUGGGUGGGAGCCACACGGCUUGGAUUUCCUAAUGAAGGGUGAUUCGUAAUCAAACUCAUCAUCAAUAGCAUGCCCCUGAGACGCGGUGAUUAUCUUGCUCCGUAGGCCCCUCAUCCCGGUGUCUAAGUCUUGUCUCCUUUUGUUCAAGGAGUCUUUCAUGUUGGAUGGAUUGGCAUUUCCUUUCCUUUUAUCUUCCGGGGGAGCCACAGGAGGUAUGGUCCUCUCAUUCGUCCUUUUCCUAUUGAGCACUUCCCUUAACUCUGAGGGAGUUUCCCUUGAAAUGAUCUCAACUUCAUUUUGAGGGUUAGCGUCGUUCCUCCGCUCUGGCCUCUUAGGCUAUUUCGCCUGCCCGGGACGUUCAUGUUGCUUUGGCCGAGGGGUAUUGCCAGUGGAAAGUUGAUUCCUCCCGUCAUCUACAGGGAUUGUGGUUUCUCCUCCCUCAUGGCCUUUCUCCUUUCGCUUAGGAAGAGGCAUGCUUGACUUUCCUUGUAACAGGCCAUUCUACACAUCUUGCAUAUUUUCUAUGGUGGUUUCUAGCCUUUGAUUCUUUUGGUGUAACUUGGGUAUCUACUCUUCGUAGAAUCGAGUCCUAGAGCCUAAGCUUAUGGAAUGUACUCGGGGACUCUUGUCAGGCCUAUGUGUUGAAGGACACGGAUCUUGCCAGCCGGAGUUCGGCACCUGCGGUGGCCUUGGGGGAGGAAAUGCUCAUGCGCCACCUGUAGGGGCAGCCACCGGUCCUGGACGGUUUUCAUAGGGCUGGACAGCUGGGGAUGAAGCCUCCCUUUCAUCUUCAAGAGCCUUGGGCUCCUUUGGUGCAUCCACAUUUUUGGGUGGUGGAGGAUUCCUCAUGGAGGCUUUCAGCUGAUCUCCGUACAGGUGGACCUCAACCUCUCGUGGUUCUCUCAAACACUUAGAAUUUCUUGGCAUCUUUCCCUGUUGGAAUCAAUAGAAGAAUAAUGGCUUGAAACUUAUUCUUCCCACAGACGGCGCCAAACUAUUGAUGGUAAUAACUCGUUAACUAAGUUAGAUUAAGAACUUUAUGAGUUAUAAUAGAAGCGAACUUUAAUCAAUUAAACUUCAAACAAUCUUUCUGAUAUUUUCAAGAACACAAAAUGUAAAUGGUAGAAUUUUAGAAUGGAAAAUAGAGAGAAUGUAGAAUGUGUACUUUCAUUAGCAAUGGCUGAUUACCAAACUCCCAAAAUUCGACCCCCCUCUUAGGUGAAGGGAGGUCAUAUUUACUGUACAUGGUGGUCCCGGGGGGACAUGGCUCUGGUUAUGCAGACUACAGAUGGUAGUGGUGUUGGGAGCAUGGUGGUCGGCCCCAUCACAUGCCAAGGCUCUGCUGGAGCACCUCAACUUUAGUACCUGGUUGUACGUCCACCAUCUAUUUAGUACGAACAUCAGAGGUUGGCUGGGAAUGACCACAUCAGGUACCUUACUCAUAUGACCACUACUUUUCUCGUGUGGAUAUUACGAUCAGACAUCUGGGGUCUUUAGGGUCGUACCCCAUACAUACUUUGUACCUGUAAGAUCUCUUUGAGUUAUACCUAGGAUUUUACACCCCACAAGGCAUCCUAUUCUUUUAACCUUUAAAUUUUGAAGUCCUUAUGGGUCCCCAUAUGAGAAACGUUCCUAAGAGGCAUGGGAGGUAAAAGCCUCUCGACAUGUUCGAUGCGGGGGGAAGGCUAAUGGGAAAGGCUAUGCCUCGCGAGAUGUUGGCGCGAGACGGUGGCCUGAUGCACGCGUGAGGCCCUUGGUGCAAGGCGCAUUCUAAUUCAUGCACGAGGCUGUGGCACAAGACAGUGGCCUAAUACACGCGCGAGGCCCUUGGUGUAAGGCGCAUGGCAUGAGGUACAUUUUGAUGCGCGCCUAAGACCCUUAUUUUGAGGCUUAUGGCGCGAGGCAGAGGCCUGAUGCGCACGCGAGGCCCUUGUUCCGAGGCGCAAAGGCAUGUUGGUGAGGCUAUGGGAUGGAUGCCUGAUGCGCUCGCGAGGCGUUGGGGCGAGGUAGGGGCCUGUGGCGCAAGACCAUUCCUCUCUUGGUGCUAUCGCGAGGCUUUUAGCGCAAGGCGCAAGGUCGGGCUUCCCCGUUUUCAUCCCAAGCCUAUAGUUUGAAGGGCACAAGGCGAGGGCCUUGUGCAACUAGAAUUUUGGAAUCCACAAUUGGUUUGAUAGAUUAUUUGGGAUUAACAGGAAUCCUAAGGGAAAGACAAAUGCCCUUGGGUAUGCUUUAGAGCUAAGUUAGGGGUUAGGGGUAGAAUAGUCUUUUGGCGACCUAACUAGUGUGAUGUGGGCUAAGGCUGAGGAGUCUAGAUUCAUUCACGUUCUCAUCUUGCUCUUCCUCUCUUGGUUUUCACUUAGGAGCACUGAGGAGAUUUUGUCUAGAAACCAAGCCAAGUCUAAUUUUGGUGAAGAAUGAAGGGAAGCCUUGUGGAGUAGCAGCUUUGGACUGGGAAAAGAGGCUACUAGGGACAUGUUCAACCUCAUAGAAUUUGAAUUCAAAGGUGAGACCCCCUUGUUUUGAGUUUCCAAUUGUGUUCUUAAUUUUAAUGAUUUGAUUUCCUAGUUUAACGUUUUAUGGGUGUUUGUGAUGAGUUGAACAUUGGGUUUGUUGCCUAGACUUAGUAUUAUGUUUGUGUGGCUGGAAUCCUGUUAGAAACUCUGGUUUUGGGUCGAAUUUUGGGCCUGUUUUGCUCGUAAUCGCAGGUUUAAAGAUUUCGGGAAGAACACCUUAGUUAUGGGAAGAUUUAUGGUUUAGCAUGAUUAUAAUUAUGUCUGUAAUUGUUUGUUUAUGCAUUUUUGAAUGCUCGGUAUCUGGAUAAUUGUUAAAUGAUGAAUGCUCAUCUAUAUUGUUUGAUAGAAAAGGUUUGACAUAAAAGCCAAGGGCGGCAAUAGUGCACUGAGCACAUGCCGAUAUGGUUAGGCCUAAUGAGGAGCAUGAUAUACGCUUGACCGACCUUAAGGCCGUCGGAAAAUAAGGCGACAGGUACGCUGGGCCAACUCUAAGGGUGCUUAUACAAAGGAUAGGGCAAUGGGCCCCGGGGUGACUCUGUAGUCCCAUAUCCUAGAGCAACGGGCCCUGGUAUGACUUAUUAGUCAUGGUCAGCACCAUGCAUGCAUAACGCAGGGCACUAUGUCUGGGCCACCCUAGGAGUGCAUUAUGCACUUUUCUGGCUCGAAUGCAACUUGAACAAAUAGAAGUGUGAUACGCACUUGUGUGAUUCUGUGGUCACAUUCUUGUAUAAUGUGUCUGCUUGAUUAUAGCUAUUGCUGCUAAGCAUGCUGUUUAUAUUCCAAUGACUAUCCGAAUUUAUUUAAUUAAGUUUUCUUGUUGAGCCUUGGCUCACAGGUGCUAUGUGGUGCAGGUAAGGGUAAGGAGAAGCUUUGCCAUCCAUGAGAUGGAGAGCGUUAGGGGCGGUGUGUACAUAUGCAAUCUGCUCGACCGCCACAGCCGAGAGUUCACAGAGGAACUAAGUUUGGACCUUGUUUUGCCACUUAGGUCGGCUUAUUUUGUAAUCCUUUGAGUUGUAAAGAACUUUUAUCGUUGUUGAGUCUAGUUUUUGUCAUGUUUAGGUGAUGUUUUAAGUAGUCUUUUAUUUCAUUUUUCUUUCAUAUUAGUGCGGGUUUAUGCUUUGUUUGUUUGUCUUUGUGAAUAUCAGGAAGAAUUGAGCACUUGGAGAAAAAUGUCAAAGAAAGGGAAGAAAUAACCAAAUUUCUGAACAUAUUUUGAGAAAGAAUGGAUCUCAACAUAAUUUGGAAGUGUUGGUGAAUUUUUGGGGUUAAAACUUGAAACAUUGAGAAAUCCCUUAAGAGCAACGGCAUGAGCAAAGUAGAGCCGCGGCUAGGUGGUGAAACAAAACCACUGUUUUGAAGGAGAUCCACGGGCCGCGGCAUGGCUAGAGAAGGGCGCGACAUAGAUAGGCAUCAACCCAGAAUUCGUCGACACGGGCCGCGGCAUGGCUGACUAAUGCCGCGGCAUGGAGAGAACAUUUCGCCCAGGAAUUUAGACACGGGCCGCGGCAUGGUGCAUGUAGAGCCGCGGCCCGCCUCUCUUAAAAAUUGAAUCCUAGGUUUUUAUAAGGCGAAAAAAAAGAGAGAAGGGAGGACGUACGGACUGGGGAGAAGUUCUUGCUUGAAGGCUGAAGGCUUGGAGUAUUUUUACAUGUUUUUCUUUUACUUCCUGAUGUUAUCUUUAAUUUUUGUUGGGAUUAGCAUUAUGAUUAUGAACUAAUUUUCUAUUUAGGAUGUUUAAUUGAAUCACUUGAAUCUCUAUUAUGAACUAAUGCAAUUUCAAUUAUCUUCUUCUUCAAUCUUCUUCAAUUCCAUAUAACCUGUUCUUAUAGACUGAUUAUUGAUUGGCCAUCUAUAGUCAUAUAUAUAUGUUUUUAAGUCAAAAUCUGAGAAGUGAGAUUUGAAUCUGCUGUGGUUAUAUUGGACAUAAUUCUAAUUUGGAACGAAAGUAUCUGAAUUAAUUGUGUAACUGUUUAUUAAGUUGUCAAGAUUAAUGCUACCUUUGUGGUUCAAUUUACCAUAGAAAUAUAGGAAAUUGUCACCUAGGUUGAGUUUAUAAUUCAUAGUAUGAUUAUAGGCUGCUGUAUCAACUUGUUAAUUGAAUUAGGCAAAAAGAAGAAGAACUCAUACUCUGCAUUAGGGAAUAA